rnacentral:misc_RNA from 1 species
AUAGCGUGCGACACUGGGCUUGGAGGCAGAGGCGGGCAUCACGUACGGCCUCCUGCGCUCGUCAACGGCACGUACCGAGCGAGGAGGAAAGCGUGCAGGUGCCAGAGGGCGACGCUCGGGGGAGCAGGAGCUGGAGCUGGCGCCGGAGCUGGCGUCCGAGUUGUGGGCGCACCGGCAUACCCGGUUGCAGUCCGGUGGCGUCCCUUGCAGCGGCGCCACCGAGACCGUCUACGAAGCAGACGGGCAUGAAAUGCGGAGCGUAGAUCGCAGCGAUCGUCGGUGUAUCCACUGCGUCAACAAUCGCGUGAAGCUGCGGUAUCGCGAAGCGAACUCGGGCAUCAACACCUAUUGAGUGCUGACAACGAAGGUGGAUGCAAGUGAGCGUGCGGCACAUGCACUGCCGUAUACAAGAGACAGAAGCAGGAAGCAGGUGCAGCAAAAGCCUGCAGCGGCAGGUGCUGACGAUUGUGACGAACUACCCAAACUUUGGAGCCUACGCUCGAGUUAGCGUACUCGACCAGCUCCAUUUCAUUUUGACCUGGAGGCAGAGGUAUUCACGGGAGGCAUGCGGUGAUCGGUAGACAAUCCCAGUUCCCGAUCGAGACCGCAUCAUGAUUCCAACGCCCUGGAACAAGCACAUUUGGAACCGCAAAGUGGUUCAGCUUCCACGUGGAGAAGCAGUACCCAGCUUUUCCGCUUUAUACACGCUCAAGCGGUAACCGUCAGCACGCCUCGCAUCCGUUCGUCGGUUUCAAAUGCGACCGUUGCCCUGGACACUCGUCCACGCUGCACCCGAAUAUCGCCCAGAUUCCGAGUCGCCCGAACAAACUGAGCAACAAAGCCACCUGGUGCAGCAUGGACUACAGUGCAGCGGACACCGCGGAUGCAUGAACGCGCGGCCUGAUACCAAACAGCUUAGCUACCAACCAUAUUUAUCGGAUGAGCGCGUGCCUAUCUUCGAACUAGCGCAUACCUCUCUCUCUCAAACCAAAAUUCCCCAUCAUGAUCCCGUUCCUUUGAGAGCCGCCAAGGGCCGCCUCGUGCGCGCUACGCUAUUCAAGAGCUCGCGACUGCCGUUCGGACACGUCCCUCAUCGGUGCCGGACCUUGCAGCAGAACCGGUCGUUGACGGGUGCAUCAUUUCGGGUACCGGUGGACACGAGCACACCAGAUUCCGAUCACCGUACACGUCAUCGAUGCGAGAGGUUCGCGGCCAGAACUUGCCGCGCGCGUAGAGCCAGCUUGCCGGGAAGGCGCCAAUCUCGCGCGGAUACGGCCGAUCCCAGGUAUCCGCACUGACCACCUCUGCCGUGUGUGGUGCAUACUUGAGCGGAUUGUGCUGCGGAUCCCAGCGACCCUGCUCAAUCUGGCGAAUCUCUUCGCGAAUCAUCAGCAUCGCAUCGCAAAACCGAUCGAGCUCAUCGAUACUCUCGCUCUCCGUCGGUUCAAUCAUAAGCGUUCCAGCCACCGGCCAUGACAUGGUAGGAGAAUGGAAUCCAUAGUCCUGAAGGCGUUUCGCCACGUCCGAUUCCGUAACACCUGCACUAAGCUUGAACGGACGUAGAUCCAGGAUAAACUCAUG